UAAAGUCAUGGAAGAAAAAAAUGGACUCCAAUUGUAUUCAUCACAGGCAUUCAAAGUGUUACAGUAACUUUUGAUGACUUUUUAGGACAUGGCCUGGAACUCCAGCCAAUUUCCAGACCUCUCAGCCUUAUCCCUCAGCUCUGCCUUCCAACAUGGUCUCUUCUGGACACACCCCCACCCAGCUCGGGUAUUUAUAAAGAGGCUGUAUGGUCAGCUGGUCUACCUGGAGUCAUCCAUCAUCUCCAAUCCACUCCUUCCUGAUCCUGUUGGAGACUAGAGGAAGAACAGGAGCAAAGAGAGCUGUUGAAUUAACAUGGAAAAAUUUUUUUCAACCACUUCAUAUCAACGGUUAUGGACUUUUAUGGCCAUGUGUGUAUUUUUGGCACUCCACUGGAAAAGUCUCCACAAUUUGAUGCUGCAGGCGCUGUUUGUAGAGAAAAGACCCAGUAAUAGACUUGUUUAGUAUGAAGCUAGAAUGAAACAAAUAGUCACUAAGAUAAGGCCCUGUCAUACAGGCAAGUACAGCCAUACAGCUGAAAGCUGAAGAGCUGUUGAAAUGCCUGAGAUAAGGAGGGGUGUAAAUGCCAGCUAAGCAGUCCUCCUGUUUACUUUCCUGUGAUUUAUACCCGAUUUAUGAUGACCAUUAGAGGAGAAACACUCCACCAGAUCAAGAACACAGUCAAGACCUCCUCAUUAAACACAUCUGCCCUUCCCCAAAGAAAUCUUAAGGGCUGCUACAUAAAGUCAUAUGUGAAUGAAAUUUAAGCACUAAAGAAAACACGGAGAAUGAGACUUCCAGAUGUCAGACCUUAGUAAAAACAGGAAGAAGGCAGCCCAUGGUGGUUCCGUCAGGUCGGCAGAGAUACGAAGUAGCAUUGUGAACCUGAAAGAGCAGACACACAUGGAUCAGAUUCUUGAUCUAUAAAUCUCUGAAGAGAUGAGCUAAAGAAGUCUUUCACUAUGGGGUUUGCUCCACGAGAAUGAUUCCAGGGUAUGGAAGUGUCGCCACACGUUACCCGCUAGUUUACUCUUACAGUCCAGACAUUGUUCUGCCCCCUAAUUUUCACAUCUGUUACUCUUCUCUGUUCAAAAGGAUAUUGGAGGUAAGAGCUCCCUGGGUCCUGGGGGAAUCUGAGAGCUUUUAAAUGCUAUUACCAAAUGGAUUUCUGUGUGUGGGACUUCCACAGGGGUCUGUUUAGACAUUCUCACAGACACUAUAUUUUAUUUUAAAAUACAGUCCAGAUUCAUUGAAUCAAAAGGAUAAGCUAUUGGCAAUGAAGGGUAAAGUAAGUAAUGGAAACAUCGGCCGAUCUUAUUUUUAAUGUGAACUCUUUCAAUAAAGGGGGAUAGAAAUUCUGAGUGAAAGAAAACUCAUUUAUUGAUGUGUAAAAAAAAAAAAUCUCAAUGUACUGAAA